rnacentral:rRNA from 1 species
AUUGAACGCUGGCGGCAGGCCUAACACAUGCAAGUCGAGCGGAGCGGCGGACGGGUGAGUAAUGCCUAGGAAUCUGCCUGGUAGUGGGGGAUAACGUCCGGAAACGGAAGCUAAUACCGCAUACUAUCAGAUGAGCCUCGGGCGGAUUAGCUAGUUGGUGGGGGAAAGGCCUACCCAGGCGACGAUCCAUAACUGGUCUGAGAGGAGGAUCAGUCACACUGGAACUGAGACACGGUCCAGACUCCUACGGGAGGCAGCAGUGGGGAAUAUUGGACAAUGGGCGAAAGCCUGAUCCAGCCAUGCCGCGUGUGUGAAGAAGGUCUUCGGGUUGUAAAGUACUUGAAGUUGGGAGGCGUUACCAACAGAAGAAGCACCGGCUAACUUCGUGCCAGCAGCCGCGGUAAUAC